rnacentral:sRNA from 1 species
GUCAUUUAUAAAAGUCAUAAAAGUGGUGUGAAUUUUCAUGUCAUGAGAAAUUAACUUGAGACUUCCACCAAGUGUUAACAGCAUUAGAUUUGAAAAAGUUAAAACUACAGCAAUUUCUCUUCAAAUUCUGUCAGUUCAGAUUUGGUAUAACUGUCAGGACAAACAACAAGUGCGGCCACACAAAGCAAUUGUUUCAUUUGAUUUUAUCCAACUUGUCCAUGGCAAGCAUUUAAAUAAAGCUGGUUUACUACUAAUUUGACAGGGAAAAAAACCCACAUUUUUGAGACCCUUUUAGACAUUUCUUGUCUUGUUGACCUAGAAAUAGUAACUUUGAAAUUGGCAAUUCAAUCUGAAUUUAAAUUUUUGGUUUCUAUUAGACUUUUCUAUUUUGAUCUCAAUACCGGCUAUGUAUGAUAGAAAUUUUAAGCAAAUUGGAUAAAAAACGACUGGAAAAUCGCAUGUGUUGACUGCACUGAUACACAAUGUUGUAGGUGCACAAGAAUUGACCUUUACCCAGUGUUUUCAUUUAUGUACAUCUGAGAGUGCCAUGAUCAAGUUUAAAUGUUUUUUUUCUGUGAUAACUGUUGUUUAGCCAUUCCAGUGCAGUGUAAAUUUUAAGUUAUGGUGACUGAUGAUAGAUAUAAUAUUGCUCCUUCAUGAACAAAUUUUAAAAUGGACUGUAAUGUUCUUCACAACAAGCAGGUUUUCUAUAUGUAAGUACACAUAGUUGCCGUGAAGUUUUUCCUUCUCCAACAAUGCAUUUGUAAUAUCUUUUUGACAGAAUUUUUUUUUUUGGUCUUUUUUUUUUAAAUAUUAGAAAUGGCUAUAACAGUAUAAUUUGAUAGCUUUAAUCUUUGCUGAAGCAUUUGAGUAUGUUGGAAUGGUCAUCUACAAAGUACACAUUGGUCAGUUUAAACCAUGCCUAAUCAAUUCAUAGAAUAUAUUCAAUUACAAGGAUUCUAAAUUUUCAACAAGUAUAUUUAAUUUCAUGUCAUUGUUACCAAGUAAAGGCAGUUAAGACAUAAGAAUCCACAUAGAAUUGUCAUAGCUACUUUGCUUUACUUGAAUGUUGCGUGCUUUUUCAUAUGUUAAUUGUCAAAUCUGAUAAUAAAUGUUAAAACUUU